GCCCUGAUAGCUCAGUCGGUAGAGCGCGUUCUUGGUAAGAACGAGGUCAGCGGUUCAAAUCCGCUUCAGGGCUCCA
rnacentral:tRNA from 1 species